rnacentral:tRNA from 1 species
GGGCCGUUAGCUCAAUUGGUAGAGCAGCGGACUCUUAAUCCGUAGGUUCAAGGUUCGAGUCCUUGACGGCCCACCA